rnacentral:lncRNA from 1 species
AGGCUUGAUAGUCCUAAGAAAGGUGAAGGUGGGGGGAUAUAAAUGAAAAUGGGUAAUGUUUGAUGACCAGCGUACUUGUAUAGUAUAGUAGUAGGGCUUUGCUUCUGAACGCCCUUACGAAUGGUCUAACAAGGGCAUAACGGGAAUUAAAAAGACUAAUAAAAAACUUCAACGUUUCGUUGGUAAAUCCACUCGAUAGAAAUAAUAGAUAAUCUUUUGAUAGUCUCACUUCUAUCAAUGCAAUGAAAAAAAUAUC